rnacentral:rRNA from 1 species
AUUGAACGCUGGCGGCAUGCCUUACACAUGCAAGUCGAACGGCAGCACGGGAGCAAUCCUGGUGGCGAGUGGCGAACGGGUGAGUAAUAUAUCGGAACGUGCCCAGUCGUGGGGGAUAACGUAGCGAAAGCUACGCCAAUACCGCAUACGAUCUAUGGAUGAAAGCGGGGGAUCGCAAGACCUCGCCCGAUUGGAGCGGCCGAUAUCAGAUUAGGUAGUGGGUGAGGUAAAGGCUCACCAAGCCGACGACCUGUAGCUGGUCUGAGAGGACGACCAGCCACACUGGGACUGAGACACGGCCCAGACUCCUACGGGAGGCAGCAGUGGGGAAUUUUGGACAAUGGGCGCAAGCCUGAUCCAGCAAUGCCGCGUGCAGGAUGAAGGCCUUCGGGUUGUAAACUGCUUUUGUACGGAACGAAACGGCGAGCUCUAAUACAGUUUGCUAAUGACGGUACCGUAAGAAUAAGCACCGGCUAACUACGUGCCAGCCGCCGCCGUAAAAC